ACUUCGUUCACCCAACAGAAAUAGUUAAGCCCCUCCUCAACAAUUACCGCCACAUUUGAAUACGACAUUGUUAUUGGUGUAAUUUUUGAAGCCACAAUCACACUUGUAAAGCGAAUUGGCCGAAUUGGGUAAUCUGUCAUCUUGCCUAUUGCGUUUCUGCCGGUUUUUACGUUUUUACAUCUUUACUUGCGUCAAUUUGCCAUUAAUCUCCUUUAUUCACACAAAAUAGUCUUUAUAAAGACUCGUCGGUGUAUUCUAAAGAUAGUCAGGGUUAUAUUAUUCGCGAUCAAGAAAAGUUGUACGCAAACAUGAAUGUCGCCGGUGCUGCUUUCUCUCCACCG